GGGGAUUUAGCUCAGUGGUAGAGUGCUUGCCUAGCAAGUGCAAGGCCCUGGGUUUAGUCUCCA
rnacentral:tRNA from 1 species